ACGGCCAUACCACAUUGAAAACACCGUUUCUCGUCCUAUCACCAAAAUUAAGCUAUGUCAGGCCUGGUCAGUACUUGGGAGGUUGACCACCUGGGAACACCAGGAGCUGUAGGCU